UGCAAGUCGAGGGGUAUAGCACUUCGGUGCUAGAGACCGGCGCACGGGUGCGUAACGCGUAUGCAAUCUGCCUUUCACAGAGGGAUAGCCCAGAGAAAUUUGGAUUAAUACCUCAUAGUAUUAUGACUCGGCAUCGAGAUAUAAUUAAAGUCACAACGGUGAAAGAUGAGCAUGCGUCCCAUUAGCUAGUUGGUAAGGUAACGGCUUACCAAGGCAACGAUGGGUAGGGGUCCUGAGAGGGAGAUCCCCCACACUGGUACUGAGACACGGACCAGACUCCUACGGGAGGCAGCAGUGAGGAAUAUUGGACAAUGGGCGCAAGCCUGAUCCAGCCAUGCCGCGUGCAGGAUGACGGUCCUAUGGAUUGUAAACUGCUUUUGUACGAGAAGAAACACUGAUUCGUGAAUCAGCUUGACGGUAUCGUAAGAAUAAGGAUCGGCUAACUCCGUGCCAGCAGCCGCGGUAAUACGGAGGAUCCAAGCGUUAUCCGGAAUCAUUGGGUUUAAAGGGUCCGUAGGCGGUUUAGUAAGUCAGUGGUGAAAGCCCAUCGCUCAACGGUGGAACGGCCAUUGAUACUGCUGAACUUGAAUUAUUAGGAAGUAACUAGAAUAUGUAGUGUAGCGGUGAAAUGCUUAGAGAUUACAUGGAAUACCAAUUGCGAAGGCAGGUUACUACUAAUUGAUUGACGCUGAUGGACGAAAGCGUGGGGAGCGAACAGGAUUAGAUACCCUGGUAGUCCACGCCGUAAACGAUGGAUACUAGCUGUUGGGAGCGAUCUCA
rnacentral:rRNA from 1 species